rnacentral:lncRNA from 1 species
CGGAAUGAGGAACUGCUUGAUUUCAAUAAAAACUGGGAAGAUCUCCAUGAAGUGAUGUGGAAUGAAAGGAGCAGAAGCAGGAGAACACACUGUACACAGUAACUGAAACAUUGUGGGACGAUCAAAUGUAACAGAUUCUGCUACUAAUAGCAAUGCAACGAUCAAGAAUCAUCCCAUAGAGCUCAUGAGUAAGAACGCUAUCCACAUUGAGAGAAAGAACCGUGGGAGCAGAAAUGCAAAAGAAAAUAUAUGA